UAUUGAGAGGAAAAAUUUGUGCUGAUUGCAACCUCAUUAAAAAAAUGCUAAAACGGUAUUU
rfam:Elizabethkingia anophelis NTHP1, complete genome.